UACGAAGGGGGCUAGCGUUGCUCGGAAUGACUGGGCGUAAAGGGCGCGUAGGCGGCUUGCACAGUCAGGCGUGAAAUUCCUGGGCUCAACCUGGGGACUGCGCUUGAGACGUGUGGGCUUGAGUGGGGAAGAGGGUCGUGGAAUUCCCAGUGUAGAGGUGAAAUGCGUAGAUAUCUGGAGGAACACCGGUGGCGAAGGCGGCAUCCUGGACCGGUAUUGACGCUGAGGCGCGAAAGCCAGGGGAGCAAACGGG
rnacentral:rRNA from 1 species